CUUUCCCUCUUUCGUCAGGCCUAACACAUGCAAGUCGAGCGGAUGAAGGGAGCUUGCUCCUGGAUUCAGCGGCGGACGGGUGAGUAAUGCCUAGGAAUCUGCCUGGUAGUGGGGGAUAACGUCCGGAAACGGGCGCUAAUACCGCAUACGUCCUGAGGGAGAAAGUGGGGGAUCUUCGGACCUCACGCUAUCAGAUGAGCCUAGGUCGGAUUAGCUAGUUGGUGGGGUAAAGGCCUACCAAGGCGACGAUCCGUAACUGGUCUGAGAGGAUGAUCAGUCACACUGGAACUGAGACACGGUCCAGACUCCUACGGGAGGCAGCAGUGGGGAAUAUUGGACAAUGGGCGAAAGCCUGAUCCAGCCAUGCCGCGUGUGUGAAGAAGGUCUUCGGAUUGUAAAGCACUUUAAGUUGGGAGGAAGGGCAGUAAGUUAAUACCUUGCUGUUUUGACGUUACCAACAGAAUAAGCACCGGCUAACUUCGUG
rnacentral:rRNA from 1 species